rnacentral:rRNA from 1 species
AGGCGACGACGGGUAGCCGGCCUGAGAGGGUGACCGGCCACAUUGGGACUGAGACACGGCCCAGACUCCUACGGGAGGCAGCAGUGGGGAAUAUUGCACAAUGGGCGAAAGCCUGAUGCAGCGACGCCGCGUGAGGGAUGACGGCCUUCGGGUUGUAAACCUCUUUCAGUAGGGAAGAAGCGAAAGUGACGGUACCUGCAGAAGAAGCGCCGGCUAACUACGUGCCAGCAGCCGCGGUAAUACGUAGGGCGCAAGCGUUAUCCGGAAUUAUUGGGCGUAAAGAGCUCGUAGGCGGUUUGUCGCGUCUGCCGUGAAAGUCCGAGGCUCAACUUCGGAUCUGCGGUGGGUACGGGCAGACUAGAGUGAUGUAGGGGAGACUGGAAUUCCUGGUGUAGCGGUGAAAUGCGCAGAUAUCAGGAGGAACACCGAUGGCGAAGACAGGUCUCUGGGCAUCUACUGACGCUGAGGAGCGAAAGCAUGGGGAGCGAACGGGAUUAGAUACCCUGGUAGUCCAUGCCGUAAACGUUGGGCACUAGGUGUGGGGGACAUUCCACGUUUUCCGCGCCGUAGCUAACGCAUUAAGUGCCCCGCCUGGGGAGUACGGCCGCAAGGCUAAAACUCAAAGGAAUUGACGGGGGCCCGCACAAGCGGCGGAGCAUGCGGAUUAAUUCGAUGCAACGCGAAGAACCUUACCAAGGCUUGACAUGUGCUAGAUCGCCAUAGAAAUAUGGUUUCCCCUUUGGGGCUGGUUCACAGGUGGUGCAUGGUUGUCGUCAGCUCGUGUCGUGAGAUGUUGGGUUGAGUCCCGCAACGAGCGCAACCCUCGUUCUAUGUUGCCAGCACGUUAUGGUGGGGACUCAUAGGAGACUGCCGGGGUCAACUCGGAGGAAGGUGGGGACGACGUCAAAUCAUCAUGCCCCUUAUGUCUUGGGCUUCACGCAUGCUACAAUGGCCGGUACAAUGGGCUGCGAUACUGUGAGGUGGAGCUAAUCCCAAAAAGCCGGUCUCAGUUCGGAUUGGGGUCUGCAACUCGACCCCAUGAAGUCGGAGUCGCUAGUAAUCGCAGAUCAGCAACGCUGCGGUGAAUACGUUCCCGGGCCUUGUACACACCGCCCGUCAAGUCACGAAAGUUGGUAACACCCGAAGCCGG